AUUGAACGCUGGCGGCAGGCCUAACACAUGCAAGUCGAGCGGAUGAAGGGAGCUUGCUCCUGGAUUCAGCGGCGGACGGGUGAGUAAUGCCUAGGAAUCUGCCUGGUAGUGGGGGAUAACGUCCGGAAACGGGCGCUAAUACUGCAUACGUCCUGAGGGAGAAAGUGGGGGAUCUUCGGACCUCACGCUAUCAGAUGAGCCUAGGUCGGAUUAGCUAGUUGGUGGGGUAAAGGCCUACCAAGGCGACGAUCCGUAACUGGUCUGAGAGGAUGAUCAGUCACACUGGAACUGAGACACGGUCCAGACUCCUACGGGAGGCAGCAGUGGGGAAUAUUGGACAAUGGGCGAAAGCCUGAUCCAGCCAUGCCGCGUGUGUGAAGAAGGUCUUCGGAUUGAAAAGCACUUUAAGUUGGGAGGAAGGGCAGUAAGUUAAUACCUUGCUGUUUUGACGUUACCAACAGAAUAAGCACCGGCUAACUUCGUG
rnacentral:rRNA from 1 species